UACGUAGGGUGCAAGCGUUGUCCGGAAUUAUUGGGCGUAAAGAGCUCGUAGGCGGUCUGUCGCGUCUGCUGUGAAAACUCGGGGCUUAACCCCGGGCCUGCAGUGGGUACGGGCAGACUAGAGUGUGGUAGGGGAGACUGGAAUUCCUGGUGUAGCGGUGAAAUGCGCAGAUAUCAGGAGGAACACCGAUGGCGAAGGCAGGUCUCUGGGCCAUAACUGACGCUGAGAAGCGAAAGCAUGGGGAGCGAACAGG
rnacentral:rRNA from 1 species